AUUGAACGCUGGCGGCAUGCCUUACACAUGCAAGUCGAACGGCAGCAUGAUCUAGCUUGCUAGAUUGAUGGCGAGUGGCGAACGGGUGAGUAAUACAUCGGAACGUGCCCUGUAGUGGGGGAUAACUAGUCGAAAGAUUAGCUAAUACCGCAUACGACCUGAGGGUGAAAGUGGGGGACCGCAAGGCCUCAUGCUCUAGGAGCGGCCGAUGUCUGAUUAGCUAGUUGGUGAGGUAAAGGCUCACCAAGGCGAAGAUCAGUAGCUGGUCUGAGAGGACGAUCAGCCACACUGGGACUGAGACACGGCCCAGACUCCUACGGGAGGCAGCAGUGGGGAAUUUUGGACAAUGGGCGAAAGCCUGAUCCAGCAAUGCCGCGUGUGUGAAGAAGGCCUUCGGGUUGUAAAGCACUUUUGUCCGGAAAGAAAUGGCUCUGGUUAAUACCUGGGGUCGAUGACGGUACCGGAAGAAUAAGGACCGGCUAACUACGUG
rnacentral:rRNA from 1 species